GCCAAUCAGAGAAUGGCAUUCGUGAUAUAAAACUAGUAGAUUUGUACUAAAACUCGAUAGAAACACAGAUCUAGCACAAGCUGUCAACAUACGUGUAAUCAUUGCAUAGGCAAAGAGAAUUUACAAUGUACAUUUUGGUGAUCAAAGUAAACAAGUUACACUGUAGUUAAGAUAAGAUAAGAUACUUUAUUUAAUGUGGAGUUACGCUUAGCUAAUUAGCUAGUUUACAGGUAAUGCACGGCCUUACAGCUGUAGUAUAUUCUAAAAAUUAAAACUAAAAAUGUGCAAUAAUUGAUCGUAUAAAACUAUAAAGACCUAUAAAUGCAGAGAACUGAAAAUCUAAAGAAUCAAAUUACAAUAAAUUCCAACUUCAGUCAAACUUAAGCGAUCAAGUUUUGUUGUUCACUUCAUUAGUGCCUACUUUAAAUUUAGUUCUCAUAUCAUAAUUUGUUAGGUCAUUCCAUUUCUUUGUGGCAAAAUAUCUCCAUGAUUUGAGACCAUAUUUAGUUGUGUUACAUGUAAUUUUUGGCAAAGAAAGGAUAUAGUCAUGUCAAAGGUUAUACUUGGAUGAUGGUAAGGUGAUAAGAUCUCUAAUUGCGGAUGGAGCUUUGUCCGAUAUACAAUUGUUUAUUGUCGACAGCAUGUCCUGAAUUCUUUGAGUUUCCAUGGAUGGCAGUCUGAUUCUUUGUAAGAGAUCUUGAUAAGGUACACUUUUAUUAUUUUUUAAAGACGUACCUUAAAGCCCUUUCGUUGACUUUUUCGAUUUUAGCAGUAUUUCUUUUUCUGCAGUGGUGCCAGACUUGGUUACCAUAGUUAAAAUAUGGUAGUAUAAAUGCAAAGUAGUAUAAAUGUUUUCUUUUUUGUUGCAAAAUUUCCUCGGACCGCUCCCCAUCUGGCAGUAGUUCUUUGGAAGAAGAUAGUUUGUAUGGCAUCAAUUAGGAUGUUUCUUCUCAUUAAUAAUAAUACCAGUUUGGCUAAAGAAAUCUUCUUUUAUCUUCAAACAUGAUGCACAAUCCAAGGCCCACCCACCCAUGACUCACUCACCGUGAUUUAUUCACCCCUUGCAUAAACUCAUUGUUCAUGUUCCAGCAAGAUGCUUUUUUAAAGAGCACUAGUUUCCCAUCCAAAUUAGAAGGAAGCAAUCUCAGAAAAGUCAGCCAGACUUUUUUCUCCAGUGAGGUACAUAAUUUAUACAGCUUGAGCGCAUCUUUAUUUUUUUGUAGCAUUUUCAAAGAAAUAUCCUGUUUCAUUUGACAGCGUUUUCAAGGAAAUGGCAUGGUUGAGGUAGUAAAUGUAUUCAUGGCACAUUGUUUUUUGUGUAGAGUAAUUAAAAUACUAGUAAUCAUCAAUUUCUUGUAGUUUCCACUUGGUGACAGUCCAUCUCCAUUGCCAAACAAGUCCAUGAAUAUGAACUAUAAUCAGUCCAUUGCCUGAUUAAGGAACAAUGUUGCUUAUUUUCACUGAAGCAUUGUCUACACCUACAUGUAUGGUUGAACUGCUUGAGGAUCACGGUUCAAGAUAACAUGACAGAGAUUUUGUGGAGUCAUCAGCAAGUGAAGGAAAGAAGAAUGUAAUAAAAUGUUUUGAAGUAACUUAGCCCAGUGAUAGCUUUCAGGAACGAAGAAUAGUCCAGACGUAACUCGAGGCUACUAGUUUUAGUGACAAAAAAUUGCAUUUCAGUUUGGAAGUUUCAGUUAAUGCUCUAAGAAAUCUCUAAAUUAAUCAGUGUUGCCACAGUGUUUUUCACUCAUAGUGAGUGAAGAAAAAAAUCUUCCAAGUUCAGAGAAGGUCACAGAAUUUUUUUUUCAGUCGGGGAAAAUUGGCAUUUGAAGAAAAGUCAGUGAAAUUUGAAAUCAUAACACUGCUGAUUUAAUGCUAUUAAAGCCUGGAAAGGACUUUUCAGGUCACUGUGAUCUGAACGAUGUUUUAUCUUAAUUAAUGUAGGUGAAUUUGUUGAAAUUAUAUUAGUCUGGAGGGAGAAAAGGUGGCUGUUUGGGGGAGGCUAGAGACCGCUACUGUAUCUGACAUUUUGUAAUUAUCCAGUCAGGGAAUUUUGAAAAGUGAACUCUGUGGUAACAGUGUUUAAAAUCGUUAAAAUCUUUGAAAAAACACUUAACAGUAUUACAGAGUGCAUUUGCCGCUAGUGGUAGUAGCCUCGAGUUGUGCUUUUGGUCAAGGUAAAUUUCCAGUGAAAUGUAAUUUCCAAGUUACUUUUGAACUAGUCAGCUGUAUUGAAAAUACAAUGCACAGUGUAUAUAAAGGAACCCAGGAAAAUAAGUCCAGGAAGAAGCUAACUGAAGUCUUUUGGCAGUAACUUAUUUGCGGUGUUAUACUGACCUAGAGAAAAAGAGCUGAAGAAAAAGUCUUUUGGCGGGAAAAUUUUCGCGCUUUUGAAAGGGGCCGAGAACAAAUUCUGGAAAGAAAAACUAAGUCUUUUGGCUGGAAAUUGUUUACUGUUUUAAAAGGUACUAAGAAAAAAGUCGAAGAAAAACCCGUUUUUUGGCGGGAAAAUUGUCCUUAGGGAAAAAAGUCUGUGCUUUUGAAUGGUGUCUGGUUUUGAGUCAAAAAUAUAGUAAGUCUUUUGGCGGGAAAAAUCUUGCCUUGUGCAGCGGAUUUGUCCCAUCAAAAGUCAAAGUAUAUGUUUGUUUUCUGGCUAGACUCUGUUCAAAAGUGCAGAAUUUUUUUUCUUUUUGGCAACCCUACAUAGUCAAAAAAUAGUAAAAGAGAUAGCCUACAUUCCGACUAGUUUCCAGGCCCCUUUUAAAAGCGCGAAUUUUUUAUUUAUUUAUUUGCUUAUUCAAUAAAGUCAAACAGACAAUAGAGACAAGAGACAAUUAAAGUUGUGAAUACUUUA
rnacentral:lncRNA from 1 species